ensembl:snoRNA
UCAAGAGCAAUCUGUUGUCCCAGGUAAGCAGUAGUCAGAAGACAGCCCAAAGUGACUUUUUCCCUUUGUGGCUACUCUUCUGUUAUCUGUAACCAAUCUGUGACAUUCUGGGGAAAGAGAGCU